rnacentral:lncRNA from 1 species
CCAUUCAAGUGAAAACUAUUCUUAAAAAACAAAAAAAACUUUAAAUACCACUCAUGUGAUUUUACACUUUCUCAUUUUAAUAUUCUGUAAUUUAAAAUGUAUCACUUUUAUACCCUAUAAUUUUAUUUUUCUCUUUUUGUUAUCUCUUUCAUUAAUUUUUUUCGUUAAAUUAGUGACAAAGUUAAAACUAAAACAUACUAAAGUGAAUAUUCGAUAAAUUAUAGAUAGGGUAUAUGAAAUUUUUGUAUAUGAUUUAACAAAAAGUUAACGGAGGGACUGACGAAAAGAAAAAAAACAAAACCACAGGGUACUAAAUUUAUACAGUUUAAACCACAUGAUACUAAAGUUAAAAAGUGCGAAAUCACAAAGAUGGUAUUUGAAGUUUACCCUUAGAAAGUAAUAAGAUUAAUCCAACCUUCACCAUAU